rnacentral:rRNA from 1 species
AUUGAUUGGUGCUUGCAUCAUGAUUUACAUUUGAGUGAGUGGCGAACUGGUGAGUAACACGUGGGAAACCUGCCCAGAAGCGGGGGAUAACACCUGGAAACAGAUGCUAAUACCGCAUAACAACUUGGACCGCAUGGUCCGAGCUUGAAAGAUGGCUUCGGCUAUCACUUUUGGAUGGUCCCGCGGCGUAUUAGCUAGAUGGUGGGGUAACGGCUCACCAUGGCAAUGAUACGUAGCCGACCUGAGAGGGUAAUCGGCCACAUUGGGACUGAGACACGGCCCAAACUCCUACGGGAGGCAGCAGUAGGGAAUCUUCCACAAUGGACGAAAGUCUGAUGGAGCAACGCCGCGUGAGUGAAGAAGGGUUUCGGCUCGUAAAACUCUGUUGUUAAAGAAGAACAUAUCUGAGAGUAACUGUUCAGGUAUUGACGGUAUUUAACCAGAAAGCCACGGCUAACUACGUGCCAGCAGCCGCGGUAAUACGUAGGUGGCAAGCGUUGUCCGGAUUUAUUGGGCGUAAAGCGAGCGCAGGCGGUUUUUUAAGUCUGAUGUGAAAGCCUUCGGCUCAACCGAAGAAGUGCAUCGGAAACUGGGAAACUUGAGUGCAGAAGAGGACAGUGGAACUCCAUGUGUAGCGGUGAAAUGCGUAGAUAUAUGGAAGAACACCAGUGGCGAAGGCGGCUGUCUGGUCUGUAACUGACGCUGAGGCUCGAAAGUAUGGGUAGCAAACAGGAUUAGAUACCCUGGUAGUCCAUACCGUAAACGAUGAAUGCUAAGUGUUGGAGGGUUUCCGCCCUUCAGUGCUGCAGCUAACGCAUUAAGCAUUCCGCCUGGGGAGUACGGCCGCAAGGCUGAAACUCAAAGGAAUUGACGGGGGCCCGCACAAGCGGUGGAGCAUGUGGUUUAAUUCGAAGCUACGCGAAGAACCUUACCAGGUCUUGACAUACUAUGCAAAUCUAAGAGAUUAGACGUUCCCUUCGGGGACAUGGAUACAGGUGGUGCAUGGUUGUCGUCAGCUCGUGUCGUGAGAUGUUGGGUUAAGUCCCGCAACGAGCGCAACCCUUAUUAUCAGUUGCCAGCAUUAAGUUGGGCACUCUGGUGAGACUGCCGGUGACAAACCGGAGGAAGGUGGGGAUGACGUCAAAUCAUCAUGCCCCUUAUGACCUGGGCUACACACGUGCUACAAUGGAUGGUACAACGAGUUGCGAACUCGCGAGAGUAAGCUAAUCUCUUAAAGCCAUUCUCAGUUCGGAUUGUAGGCUGCAACUCGCCUACAUGAAGUCGGAAUCGCUAGUAAUCGCGGAUCAGCAUGCCGCGGUGAAUACGUUCCCGGGCCUUGUACACACCGCCCGUCACACCAUGAGAGUUUGUAACACCCAAAGUCGGUGGGGUAACCUUUUAGGAACCAGCCGCCUAAGGUGGGACAGAUGAUUAGGGUGAAGUCGUAACAAGGUAGCCGUAGGAGAACCUGCGGCUG